rnacentral:RNase_MRP_RNA from 13 species
AGCACGGUUUCGAAGCGCACAUACGGUGAGCUCGCUCCCAGCGACGCUGCGGGGAAGGUCCCCGCGCCUUGGGGCCGAGAGUGCCAGCAGGAGACCGCAGG